rnacentral:misc_RNA from 1 species
AGCUAAAGUGUAACAUAAGAAGUAAUGUGAGAAGGCUCUCAACAAAUGGGUGUGUGGUAUUGUUUUAAAGUCCAAUAAUAAUUGUGAUUAGUUAUUAGACUACUCCUAAAAAAUUUUAUUUUUUCAAUUUGGCAUCAAAAGAAAGUUGAGUAAACAGAAACAUCAAAAUGAGUCAACCUUUUACAUAUCUCAAAAAAGAUGAAACCAUUGUUUUCAGCCAAGCGUUUAAAUUAAAGUUCAGUGAUAGUGUUGGAGUAGAUUGGAGAACUCUUGGGCGUUGGUUAUAUAUUGAAGAAAAUUAUUUAGAUAUGAUUGAUCAAGAAAACAUAAAAAUUAAUUUAAAAGCGUAUUCAAUGUUAACUAAAUGGUUGCAAAUGAAUGACAGUCCAACACUUGAUGAGUUAAAAACAGCUCUAAAGGAAAUGAAAAGAGUGGAUCUAAUAAGAUUAGUAGACGAAUUUACAAAGAUUUCAAAUUCACCAGAAAAAUCUGCCGCAUUUUCUGCCAUUAAAGAUUCUUCAAAUCCACUAGAUGUUGCUAGCAGAGCUAAUGUCAAUAAAGAUAUAUCAGAGGUAUGCACAGCACUAAAAAAUUAUUAUCUGAAAUAUUAUGGCAAAAUAAAUGAACUUCGACCACUAUUAAAAACACCUGCUAGUGUUGAUCUAAUACAAAAAUUUGUUGAUCUAUGUAUUGUUGAUGCAUAUAAUGCUCAAAUUGAUGUUGUUUGUAGUAAUGAACGAAAGCAAUUUCUUAAAAAGCAAAUGAGUUAUACACCAAUUCCAUAUAGUGAAGUAUUUAUGAGCGAAAAAUCAGUAAUAUUAAUAUCUGGAAUAGCUGGUAUUGGAAAAACAUGGUUGCUCAGAAAGUGUUUGCUCGAUUGGUCGAAUAAUUUAAUUUGGAAUAAUGUUGAACUUGUGUUUUAUUUGGAAUGCAGGAGGCUUAAUCAAUAUCAAAAUGUUUCGAAUAUUAAUGAAUUACUAAAUGUUUUCUAUAAACAUAUUUUAAAUGAUUUUGAUAUUAGUAAGCAUACUACAUUGUUUAUUAUUGAUGGAUUAGAUGAAUUUAAAUAUUUAAAUGAAUUAUUAAAUCCAAAUUUAAGUUGUACCUUUCCGUUUGUUAAUGCUUUAGCAGAAAUUCAAAGUUAUAAACAUGUAGUUGCAGGUAGAGUUUAUGCAAUUGAUAAAUAUCAAAAUAUAUAUCCAGAGCAUAUUGAUAAGUUAACCAUUCAAAUAAUGGGGUUUAACCAAAAUGGAGUUGAAAAUUAUGUAGAAAAUCAUGUUAUAGAAGAAAAAAAAGAAGUUGUUAAAGCAACUUUAAAGGAGUCUCCAAUUGCAAAAGUUAUGGCAACUGUUCCAUUUUAUUUAUCUUUCAUGUGUAAAAUUAUUAGUGAUUCAAGCAAAAUAUAUACAACUUCUUUCUUGACGAUGACAGAAUUGUAUGCAAAUAUUUUUUUAUUUUUUUUGCAAAAACACAUUAUCAAAAACAAUGGAUCAGUUUAUGAAAUGAUGGCAAAUGAAAAUAAUAAGAAAUAUGUAUUAACUAUUUGUAAGAUAGCUUUUGAAUUGUUUAUUGAAAACAAAUUUGUGUUUUCAAAAGAAGAAGUUUUACUAUUUAUCAAUAACUUUAAUGAAGUUGAUGAAAGUCUUUUUGGUUUUAUUGAAAGGGUUGAAACACAUCUUGGUUAUUUUUACCAAUUCGCACAUUUGACAGUGAUGGAGUUUUGUGCAUCUGUGUAUGCAUACAAUUGUUUAAGAAUUGAAGAGAUUAUGGACAAUAAAAAGCUGAAGAGUUGUUUAUCAAUGAUUUGUGGAUUAGGCAAUAAAAAAAAAUAUAUUUUAUUAAAGUUUCUUGUUAACCUGAAUCCUUCUAAACAAUCAAAAGAGGAAUCUUCACUUUCGGUUUCUAUUUUGGUUGAUUAACCACUCCCAUCAUUGGGUUAAUCCUGAUACACCGCACCAGUAAACAUUUCAAUUUAAAAACAACCAAAGAUCGUCUAUCUCAAAGUAAUAAAGGUUUUAAUGAAGAUUUCAAUUUUUUCUACGAAUGUUUCUACGAAAGUCAAUCGUCAUUCACUGAUGAAAUAAAAUCAAUUGUUGAUGAACAAAACUUGCGAUAAUUAUUUCAU